UUAAGGUUGGAAAAUACGCAAGAAAACAUGAGAGUAUUGUUGCCAAGACCAGGAGAACUGAAGAAGAAAGUGUAAUUACAAAGAUCACAUGUCUUGUUCAAAAGCCUGUUGAAAGUCUUUCAGAGGAGGAUAAAUCUGUUCUGUUUGAUCUACAACACCAGAUGGAUGAUAUGUAUAAACUGAAAGCAGACGGAACCUUUGUCAGUUGUAGGUAGAAAUGGAGGAGGAUGAACUAAAUGUAUCUUGUUUUUUUUUCAGGUUAGAAAAAUACCUCUAAAAAUAAUAAAAUUCAGCAAUUAAAUAUGACUGGUCUCAUCACAGAUGACCCCACAUUAAUCUCCAUCUUUAGUUGCAUCUUCUACAGUAUUAUGAGGUGUCCUCAUCUUCUACAGUAUUGUGAGGUGUCCUCAUCUUCUACAGUAUUGUGAGGUGUCCUCAUCUUCUACAGUAUUAUGAGGUGUCCUCAUCUUCUACAGUAUUGUGAGGUGUCCUCAUCUUCUACAGUAUUGUGAGGUGUCCUCAUCUUCUACAGUAUUGUGAGGUGUCCUCAUCUUCUACAGUAUUGUGAGGUGUCCUCAUCUUCUACAGUAUUGUGAGGUGUCCUCAUCUUCUACAGUAUUGUGAGGUGUCCUCAUCUUCUACAGUAUUGUGAGGUGUCCUCAUCUUCUACAGUAUUGUGAGGUGUCCUCAUCUUCUACAGUAUUGUGAGGUGUCCUCAUCUUCUACAGUAUUGUGAGGUGUCCUCAUCUUCUACAGUAUUGUGAGGUGUCCUCAUCUUCUACAGUAUUGUGAGGUGUCCUCAUCUUCUACAGUAUUGUGAGGUGUCCUCAUCUUCUACAGUAUUGUGAGGUGUCCUCAACUCUUUGUUUUGAUUGUCUGGGGGAUGUGAAACCAGUUGGUGAGGCUGACAGGGAACAGUGUGAUGAAACCCUGUUAAAGUUGAACACAUCAUUUAUUCUAUUGAACAACUUAAAAAUAAUAAGUCUCCUGGGACUGAUGGUGUAUCUGCUGAGUUUUACACAACUGAUUACAGAACAGUUAGUCCCUUUUCUGUUGGAGGUCUCCUGGGACUGAUGGUGUAUCUGCUGAGUAUUACACAACUGAUUACAGAACAGUUAGUCCCUUUUCUGUUGGAGGUCUCCUGGGACUGAUGGUGUAUCUGCUGAGUUUUACACAACUGAUUACAGAACAGUUAGUCCCUUUUCUGUUGGAGGUCUCCUGGGACUGAUGGUGUAUCUGCUGAGUUUUACACAACUGAUUACAGAACAGUUAGUCCCUUUUCUGUUGGAGGUCUCCUGGGACUGAUGGUAUAUCUGCUGAGUUUUACACAACUGUUUACAGAACAGUUAGUCCCUUUUCUGUUGGAGGUCUCCUGGGACUGAUGGUAUAUCUGCUGAGUAUUACACAACUGAUUACAGAACAGUUAGUCCCUUUUCUGUUGGAGGUCUCCUGGGACUGAUGGUAUAUCUGCUGAGUUUUACACAACUGUUUACAGAACAGUUAGUCCCUUUUCUGUUGGAGGUCUCCUGGGACUGAUGGUAUAUCUGCUGAGUUUUACACAACUGAUUACAGAACAGUUAGUCCCUUUUCUGUUGGAGGUCUCCUGGGACUGAUGGUGUAUCUGCUGAGUUUUACACAACUGUUUACAGAACAGUUAGUCCCUUUUCUGUUGGUCUUUUAUGAAAGCAUUGUAAAUAAUGCUCUCCCUCCCAGUCUGACUCCAGGUCUGAUUACAUUGUAAAUAAUGCUCUCCCUCCCAGUCUGACUCCAGGUCUGAUUACAUUGUAAAUAAUGCUCUCCCUCCCAGUCUGACUCCAGGUCUGAUUACAUUGUAAAUAAUGCUC